rnacentral:lncRNA from 1 species
CAGGUCAGAAAGGGAGACCAGAGGGCAGCUAUGGAAUCACAGUCUCCACUUCAGGCUUAACAGAACGCAUGACUGGGAGGCAUCAGGAAACUUACAAUCAUAGCAGAAGGCAAAGGGAAAACAAGCAUGUCUUACCAUGGUGGAGCAGGAGAGAGGGAGAGAGAAGGGGUUCACAGGCUGCUAAAACCUUAGAAGAAUGCACAGAGAUUCUUUUUGGGUUAUUUAUGGAGAAAGAAAAUGACCUAGAGAGCCUGUGCUCCAUGCAUGAUACUCACUGGAUUAAUAGGACUGCUUUCACAACUUUUAUAAAAAAUACCAAUUGUGGAUAUUACCUCUAAUAUCAAGGUGCAAAUCAAAGCCAUUUUGUCUCUCAGAUGCAAAACAAAAAUUAUAAUUCAUGCUUAAUUUAUCACCUGAGACAUUGAUUGGAUGUUGAGAACCACUGAAGAUCUUGUAAAUGUUAAAUGAAUUGUUCCUAUAAUAUCUUCCAGGCAGCUUUCUCUUCUGCAGAGUGGUUCUGGGAGCUGUGGAUGAAAGAGUGGAAUUAUUUUAGGCACACAUUUUAGCUGCUAUAAUGUGUUAAUAGGCUUGCUCGAUAGGUAGCCGCACCCUCUGCAGGCUGAUUCCAGUUCAACAGUCAUAUUGUCAUUCCUUGAGUCUUUGGGGAGACAAUGUGGAAAGGAUAUUGAGGAGGUUCUUUCUUGUAAGACUAAAAGUGUCAUCUGACUAAUGCAUCUAGACAGUGUUCUUCACAAUAUCAGAAGUCCAGUGUGCACAUUUAAUCUGAGAUCCUCCCUACAAUAUGGCACUGUGGAAUUGCAGUGAGCUGCUCAAGCCAUAUUUUCCCGAUCCCAUUCCUCAUUGACUAGAAGUGAAGCAAUAGAAAAGAAUGCUAUUAGUCAAGGAUAUGAGAAACACCUCCCAAACUAACUUUAUCUGAUAAGGGUAUUGAGUAAUAAAUGAAAG